GCUAAACGCGAAGAACCUUACCCAGACUUGACAUGCAGUGGACGAUAGUAGAAAUAUUAUUUCCCUUCGGGGCCGCUGCACAGGUGCUGCAUGGCUGUCGUCAGCUCGUGCCGUGAGGUGUUGGGUUAAGUCCCGCAACGAGCGCAACCCUUGUGAACAGUUGCCAGCGCGUCAUGGCGGGAACUCUGUUCAGACUGCCCAGGUCAACUGGGAGGAAGGUGGGGACGACGUCAGGUCAGUAUGGCCCUUACGCCUUGGGCUGCACACGUACUACAAUGCCCAGCACAAUGAGAACCGAUGCCGCGAGGUGGAGGAAAUCUGCAAAACUGGGCUCAGUUCGGAUUGGAGGCUGCAACUCGCCUCCAUGAAGUUGGAAUCGCUAGUAAUGGGGCAUCAUCUACGGCCCCGUGAAUACGUUCCCGGGUCUUGUACACACCG
rnacentral:rRNA from 1 species